rnacentral:misc_RNA from 1 species
GAUGAAGAACGUAGUGAAAUGCGAUAAGUAAUGUGAAUUGCAGAAUUCAGUGAAUCAUCGAAUCUUUGAACGCACAUUGCGCCCAUUAGUAUUCUAGUGGGCAUGCCUGUUCGAGCGUCAUUUCAACCCUUAAGCCUAGCUUAGUAUUGGGAAUCGACUUUACUGUCGUUCCUCAAAUUCAACGGCGGAUUUAUAGCAAUCUCUGAACGUAGUAAUUUUUUUCCUCGUUUUUGAAAUACUAUAAACCUCAGCCGCUAAACCCCCAAUUUUUCUAUGGUUGACCUCGGAUCAGGUAGGAAUACCCGCUGAACUUAAGCAUAUCAAUAAGCGGAGGA